UUAAUACAAUGGUAUAAACAACUUGGGCAUGUUUUCAGAGUCCGAGGCAGGCAGGUAUUCGCUGACCUCUCUGACUCUAUCACUGCACUAUCACAAUCCCACCGCUAAGUAGCAGUCCUGGCCGAAACUCCUGUGCGCUGCUCUGGACCAAACGGAAGAGACAGACUCUUGCGGGAUGGCAGCAGUUGGCAGCCAGCAGUGAGUGAAGGGAAGGCUGACUUGCUCUCUGAUACUGCUGUUGAUGCAUGGGUAAGGGUUGCAGAAUCCUGACUCUUUCAUAUAUAGUUAAAAUUGGGGUGUUUUUAAUCAUCUCUAGAGACGGCAGGAGAGCCUUACUCUGUCUCAGAUGCACCAGUGACUAGAUAUUUUGGAGUAAAUGGGAUCUACUAUUGAAUCAUUCUAGUGCAGGUUCUAGCUUUUGCCUAAUUUUGCAGGUCGGAAUGCAAAUGGGCUGAUAAUAUUUUUUAAAUCUCCACUAUUUAUGUAAAACUAUAUUUACAGGCAAUAGUAGAGUGUUUAUUUUACUGUUAUACUAUGUAUGUUGUGAUCACUCAUUUUCCAAAGUCAAAGAAAAAAAUCCUGUUUACCUAUGUAGACAUAGUUCAAGUUUUCAGAAAUUACAUUUGUACAGUUACUCAUUUCCUACUAAAGUGUCAUCUAAAUAGGUUGAAAUCAUCUUGGCAAAAGUUAGACAGGCAGAAAUUAAUUCAGUGGUUCAUCUUUCAGAGCCAGCAUGGUUGAAAAGCCAAGCCUAGCCUAUGGUUACGGGGUUGUGCCUUUAACCUAAGUGGCCAGCAGAUGGCAGCAGCUUGUCGUUUGCACGUGGACCCACUUGGGAACCCCUCCCCCACCACAGCCGACUGAGAGGCCGUGUGAUUUCCGUCUUCUUUUCCAGUUAAUCCAGGAGAGGGAGUCCUUUGCCAACGGAUGGCCCCCGUUUCCAGCACAGAGGCCGCUCUUCCCAGAGCCGUGUGUGGCCUUUGUUCUUUUCUAAACGUGAAUAUACAUGGGAGAUAGAAGACUGGAACCAAAGGCCUUUAAAAUUGGGAAAGAUGAGAAAACCUGCCACUCCCUGUGCUUUAAGUGCGCUUUCUGUUGAGUUGAUAAACUCAUCUUUGUGCUAUGAAGAAGUUUCUCUCUACCCUUGACAGUACAUCACAUUCUCUUCAAGAUCAUAAUAACAUCAUUAAUGUGAAUUUAAACAACAGGGCUUGUUAGAAAAUAUGCUAAUUGUUAUGUUCUCAUUAUGUUUGCCUAGCUUUUAUUUGUUUUUCUAUGAACAGUUAGAGAGCUAAUUUUUCUGAAAGGUGAUUGUAAGUCAUAUUUUAUAUAGCAUUUUGCUUGAUGGUUUGCUCUGUACUGAAUUUGUACUCUGUUGCCAUUAGAUCUUACAAUAAUGUUCCACUCUGCAAAUUUUUAAGGUUCAAAUAAAGUUUAAUUGUUUGC
rnacentral:lncRNA from 1 species